AAAAUAACAAAGUAUAUUUUAGUAUUCAACGACAGCAUGUGCAUAAGAACAUUGAUUUUAUCUUAUUAGCAUAUAUGAUAAGCACUACAACAACAACAAAUGCAAGCAUAAGGUAAACACAAGAUAAUAGCUAGAAUAAAGUAAAGGCACGAAAUGAUUUUGAGUAUGGGUGUUGCCAAACAACCGAUAUACAGUAUGAUUUAGAGUUUCACAAAAUGAUUCAGUCAGUACCAGGUCUUGAAGAACUAUCAGCACCCUUUUCAAAUGAGGAAAUCGACCAUGUUAUUAAAAUAAUUCCAAGUGACAGAGCUCCGGGUCCUGACGGUUUCAACGGUCAAUUUUUAAAGAUUUGUUGGGACAUAAUCAAGCCUGACUUCUUCAAACUCUGUCAUGACUUUUGGAGGGCAAAAUCAGCAUCAAAUAUCUCAACAACUCGCUCAUUACUUUGAUCCCGAAGAAACUGACACCUGAAAGAGUGAAUGACUAUCGGCCCAUAUCAUUACCCAACUUCGGCUAAAAAAAAAUCAUUACUCAACUCUGUACCAGGUCUUCACAAAAAUUCUGGUGGAGAGACUUCAAAAAUGGAUUCUCCAAUUGGUUCAUCGCAAUCAAUACGGUUUCAUCAAGACAUGUACAAUCCAAGACUGCCUCGGGUGGGCUUUUGAAUACAUACAUGCGUGCAAGAAUUCUGGCAAGGAGAUAGUUAUCUUAAAACUGGAUUUCGAAAAGGCGUUCAACAAUGGAUCAUGCCUUUGUAAUGGAUAUGCUUUUAUCAAAGGUUUUUGACAAAAGAUGGAUAAUGUGUAUCAUAACAAUUCUAAACUAUGGAUCAUCAGCAGUACUGCUCAACGGGGUGCCAGGGAAGGAAUUUAAAUGUAAAUGUGGGGUGCGCUAGGGCGACCCACUUUCGCCUCUACUAUUCGUUGUUGCUGCGGAUCUGCUGCAGUCCAUGGUAAAUAAAGCUUGGCGCAAAAACUUGCUUCAACUACCUAUUGCCCAAACUGAAUCCGAAGUCUAUCCGAUGGUUCAGUACGUGAACGAUACUAUAAUAAUUCUUCCAGCAGACCAUGGUACAAUGAACACGAUCAAGGACAUUCUAAACGCAUAUGCUCGAGCAACAGGACUAAAAAUCAACUAUACCAAAUCACAAAUGAUGCCCACUAACCUCUCAAAUCAGAAAAUCUUUGAACUUGCAGCUUGUUUUGGUUGCCAGGUAGGAUCCAUGCCCUUCACGUAUCUCGUACUGCCCCUCGGAACCACAACACCAGCAGUGCAUGAACUGAUGCCUCUGGUUGACAACAUUGAACGAAAAUUAUCU
rnacentral:lncRNA from 1 species